GGAGUUUCUUUUGAUUAUGUCACUAGGAUGUUUCAGCAAUGACCAGACCAAUCGAACACCAUCAUUGAUAUGCUCUGGAUCGUUGAUGAUGUCCAUGCAUUGUUCAUUUUGAGCGCACUCCUUUAUCACCAAUGCUAUUGUAACUUAAAUCUACAGUGUACGUGCGAGAGAAAACUUUAUCGAUAAUUUAUGGAUAAUUUAAGAAACAAAGACAAAAUCGGCCUUAAAAUAUUGAAUCGGAGGAUUAAGACGAAGAUAAUGGCCACUUUAAAGUAGCAAAUAGAGAUCAAAGAUACUCAGAAGUAUCGAAGGGUAUUAAGAGCCAAGAUUAGGAAAAUAAUGAUAAUACCUCUCAUCACAGAUAAAGAAACAACUAAAACAUGAUCUUUGCAACAUUCCGCCAGUGCUCCUACAACAUUCGCCUGCACGUCAUCAUCCUCGUGUUCUUCUAAAAAUGGUACCAAAGCAGCGACCAAACCAUUUUGAUUGAAUCUUAUUACGUUCUCUGGACUUAUGGCACAUU